GUGUUUGGAAUUGGAUCCAGUUGUACCGAUUUACUCCACUGUUUGCUACAAGAUUCAGCAGCUGUUCCGUGUGGGGGCCCCUGUUCCUGCUGUUCCCAGGCACCCGCUGGCAGGACAAAGCACCUUUCCCCAGGUGUGGAGAGCCAUGCCUGUAAGGCCUGUGCUGGGUGGGGCUGCUGUUGGAUGAGGUUGGGGGGUCCCUCAGGAGGAUAGAAGAAUUGUCCAGAGUUGGAGGCCAGGGAGACAGUCAGGGAAGGGAAGAGACCAGGGGCAGGCUACAGAAUAAAAAUGUAAAUGUUACUCAAUUCUGAAAGAGUAGGUCAGAACAACCCCUUUUAAAAAAACCUACUUUUAUAACCAGAUCAUCUAAGGGGGAACAGAAAUCCGAUGCUUUGCCUCUAAGGCUCACAAAGUAACCUGUAAAGAUACUGGCCAUUCAACUGUUUUAACUCAGUCUGUGCCAUCUAUAGAAUUCCUUUAAAGCCAAAUAG
ensembl:lincRNA Gm29707 predicted gene, 29707